rnacentral:tRNA from 1 species
GCGGGGGUGCCGGAGUGGUCAAACGGGGCAGGUUCAGGGCCUGCUGGCUCAGUGCCUACGAGGGUUCGAAUCCCUUCCCCCGCA